UACGUAGGGGGCAAGCGUUGUCCGGAUUUACUGGGCGUAAAGAGCGUGUAGGCGGCCAAGCAGGUCCGUUGUGAAAACUGGAGGCUUAACCUCCAGACGUCGACGGAAACCGCGUGGCUAGAGUCCGGAAGAGGAGAGUGGAAUUCCUGGUGUAGCGGUGAAAUGCGCAGAUAUCAGGAAGAACACCAAUGGCGAAGGCAGCUCUCUGGGACGGUACUGACGCUGAGGAGCGAAAGCCAGGGGAGCAAACGGG
rnacentral:rRNA from 1 species